AGUGAACGCUGGCGGAAGGCCUAACACAUGCAAGUCGAACGAGUGGCGGACGGGUGAGGAAUAUAUCGGAAUCUACUCUGUAGUGGGGGAUAACUUAGGGAAACUGUCGCUAAUACCGCAUACGAUCGGAUGAGCCGAUGGCGGAUUAGCUAGUUGGUGGGGUAAAGGCCCACCAAGGCGACGAUCCGUAGCUGGUCUGAGAGGAUGAUCAGCCACACUGGAACUGAGACACGGUCCAGACUCCUACGGGAGGCAGCAGUGGGGAAUAUUGGACAAUGGGCGCAAGCCUGAUCCAGCCAUGCCGCGUGUGUGAAGAAGGCCUUCGGGUUGUAAAGCCCUUUUGUUGGGAAAGCGGUACCCAAAGAAUAAGCACCGGCUAACUUCGUGCCAGCCGCCGCGGUAAUUC
rnacentral:rRNA from 1 species